rnacentral:tRNA from 2 species
GCUCGUUUAGCUCAGUCGGUAAAGCACGGUGCUAAUAACGCCGCGGUCGCAGGUUCGAUCCCUGCAAUGAGCA